rnacentral:rRNA from 1 species
AUUGAACGCUGGCGGCAGGCUUAACACAUGCAAGUCGAGCGGGGUGAUGGUGCUUGCACUAUCACUUAGCGGCGGACGGGUGAGUAAUGCUUAGGAAUCUGCCUAUUAGUGGGGGACGACAUCUCGAAAGGGAUGCUAAUACCGCAUACGUCCUACGGGAGAAAGCAGGGGAUCACUUGUGACCUUGCGCUAAUAGAUGAGCCUAAGUCGGAUUAGCUAGUUGGUGGGGUAAAGGACUACCAAGGCGACGAUCUGUAGCGGGUCUGAGAGGAUGGGCAGCCACACUGGGAGUGAGACACGGCCCAGACUCGUACGGGAGGCAGCAGUGGGGAAUAUUGGACAAUGGGGGGAACCCUGAUCCAGCCAUGCCGCGUGUGUGAAGAAGGCCUUAUGGUUGUAAAGCACUUUAAGCGAGGAGGAGGCUCUUUUGGUUAAUACCCAAGAUGAGUGGACGUUACUCGCAGAAUAAGCACCGGCUAACUCUGUGCCAGCCGCCGCGGUAA